UGAUAGGUUGGAUGUGGAAGUGCGGUGACGCAUGAAGCUGACCAAUACUAAUUGCUCGUGAGGCUUGACUAUACAACACCCAAGCAGUUG
rnacentral:rRNA from 1 species